GGUGCAGCUGCAGUUGCAAUUGAAGGC
rnacentral:misc_RNA from 1 species